GGACAGUUUGGCUGAAAUAAGGAGAAAACUAUCUGAUGAAGUUGACCCUGCGGGAGGGAGCUCCAGUGUUGGUUCUGAGAAAAACAUGUACUCAAUUGGGCCAAGAUUGAAAGCAUUCUCUGAUUGGCUGCUCAAGACUAUGGUAUCAGGAACUUUGGAGACUAUUUUUCCUGCAGCUACUCGAGAAUAUGCACCAUUGGUUGAAGAGUUGUGGAAUGAUGCUGCUAUUCAGGCUACCUACAAACGAGGAAGUGAGUUGGAAAUGCUGCCGAACGUUGCUCAUUAUUUCCUAGAAAGAGUAGUGGACAUAUUGUCAACCGAUUAUGAACCUUCGGACUCAG
rnacentral:misc_RNA from 1 species